GAUUUUUGUCUUUAUUCUAUGAAAAUACUGAAAAGAAUUGAACCAAAAUGGAGAUUAUUAUUCCCUUUUGGCCUGAAAUGCACCAAAAUGGGAAAAAGAAACUUGAAAGGGGAAAACAUGUUGGCUGUCAAGCAACUUCACUCCGUUUUUUUCCGAACUUACGUACAUAAACAUAUGGCGAUUGAGUCCCUUUACAGAUCACGCUAGAACUCGGUCUCUGUAUUUGGUGAGUGGAGCCAACGUACACAAUCAGAACAACCAACAUAAAAGAGACCAAAGCUUUUGGUGUAGGCCCGCGGCUGCCAAGCUAGGGCAAGGCUUGGCUGUAGGCGUUGACUCUACUAGUCUAGAGUCCCCUCACUACUCACCACAGCACUUUCUGAUUCCCAUUCAGCAAUUGGACUGAACCUGUACUGUAACACAGUAUGGAUGAGCUUCAUUCAAUUCCUCCAAGAGCUGUGUACUCUGUUCUGAUCAUUUUGAAGAUACUUGCUUGACAGAACUGGGCAAACGAUUCGUCUUAGACAGGAUGCUGUCCCAACCAUAUUUGAUAUCCCCCCUCGUCUUCAGAAGAAUUCACACAAGCCAGGGAAACCCCCGGAAGAAAGACGUUUCGAUUCAGCGAACAACCUCCCAGAUACUGCAAAGACACCUGU